UUAUUAGGGAUUUUCAAAAGGGGAGGGAGUGUGUGAAUAGGUGUGGGUCACAGACAUCAAGUACUUUACAAGGUAAUAGAAUACCACAAGGCAAGUGGAGGCAGGGCGAGAUCACAGGACUGUAAUGCCUUGAAAGAGGUAAGGAUUGAAGUGAGUAAGAAGGAAUAUUAUUUACCUCUUGAACAAACUGGAAGGGAAAUUAUUUUGGAGAGAAAAGAAGACAUUGUUAGCUUAUGUAGGCAGUGGCACCUUUCCCAUGUGUGUACUUCAAUAUGAAAAACCAUCUUUUCUGAGAAAUUCAAGCAUGGCCUUCUCAGGCUCCUGCUGAGUGUGGCAAGAGAAGAGAAAAAGAUCUCAUAAUGUUUUAGGAAAGUUUACGAAUUGUGUUGGGCUGCAUUCAAAGUGGGCAGUGAGUUGGACAAACUCAGGCUAGAAUGUCAGCAUCUACCAGCUUCAGGGUAAUAUAGCUGGUGGGAGUGAUUUCUGUUAUCUAAGUCUAUUCAAAGGAUAUUUAGUUACCACCGUUUUUUGGCCCAGCAUGGGAGCAGAAACCAUGGGGAACACAAAUGGAAUAUGUCACAGCACUGCCCCAGAGGGUUACAAUUUUUGUUUGCAUGUACAAGUAGGGAUCUGGUGAUCAAGGUUAACCCUUGGCUAAACUCAGCGAUGGAGACCUCAGAAAGCUGUGAACAUGCGGCUCUUGCUGUGUCUGCAGUGCUCUGAUGUACACAGCACUGGACAGUUUGUCUAGAGGCCUAGGUUCCUUCCCAGCAGUAAAACCUUGAGCAAAUAAGAGAACCAGUCUGAAUAGACAGAUCAUGAUCUUUCUUCUCACAACAACCACAACUCAUGGAAGCUUUGAAAUGGUUUCUCUAUCUUCCUUCCCUCCUUCCAGAUGAAACCGGGGCCCACAUGGGUUAAGGG
rnacentral:lncRNA from 1 species